AAAAACAUCGCCUCCUGCAAAAAAUCAAAGUAUAAGAGGUCCUACCUGCCCAGUGACGACUAGUUUAACGGCCGCGGUAUUUUGACCGUGCUAAGGUAGCGUAAUCACUUGUCUUUUAAAUGAAGACCCGUAUGAAUGGUAAAACGAGGGCUUAACUGUCUCCCUUCUCAGGUCAGUGAAAUUGAUCUGCUCGUGCAGAAGCGAGCAUAACGAUACAAGACGAGAAGACCCUUUGGAGCUUAAGACAUAAGGUCAACUACGUCAAAAAUCCCAAUAAAAAGGACCCUAAACAAAACAGCAACUGACCAGAGUCUUCGGUUGGGGCGACCGCGGGGGAAAAAAGAGCCCCCACAUGGAAUGGGACACCCCCAAACCAAGAGGGACACCUCUAAGUCUCAGAAUAUCUGACCAAAAGAUCCGGUUAUUUACCGAUUGACGAACCAAGUUACCCCAGGGAUAACAGCGCAAUCCCCUCCAAGAGUCCAUAUCGACAAGGGGGUUUACGACCUCGAUGUUGGAUCAGGACAUCCUAAUGGUGUAGCCGCUAUUAAGGGUUCGUUUGUUCAACGAUUAAAGUCCUACGUGAUCUG
rnacentral:rRNA from 1 species